CUUCCUCCCAUACAGACAAAUCCGCGUGAAGGCUGCGACUGCUCUCAAGUGGCACGAUAAGCACGGGGCGGGAGACUAUGAUGACGUGUUGUCUCUCUCUCUCCCCACCCCCUCUCUUUACAACGCAAACCGUGAGAAGAAAGUAUAUAUAUAUAUAUAUAUAUGUAUAUGUAUGUAUAUAUGUAUAUGUAUAUAUGUAUAUAUAUAUAUGACUGAAAGCGAGGAGAAAGAGAAGACAACGAGCUUCACUGUCCUGCGUUGAUUACGACGCUUUGGAAUCACUCCUCUUCCACUCCCCUUGAUGACGGGGGCACACACACCUCGGUGCGUGGCGUCUCAGGGGCCAAUGCCCCGCUCUCUGUGAGGGGGGAAGUCAAGCAGCCCCCUACCCCCUAUCCCCUGCCGACGCCGAUCACUUCGGGUGGUGGCAGGAUCAAAUGCCUACAACAUGGUAAAGCCAGAGCGAUUCAUCGCUACUGAUGCCGGCGGUGCGGUUCUGGGUGGCGUCGGAGAGACCUGCGACAGUGAGCACGUUUGUACCAUUCAUACGAUGCGGAGAGUCGCAUUGUGAUUCGAAUGCAUCCCACCCGGCCCUCGCACUGCCUCCAGAUGCGGGAGGCCUGAGCCACCCCCCAAGGAGGUUGCACCAGGGGUGGCGACCGGCACAAUGGGAGCGGCUGUGAGGCGGCACUGCGAGGCGUGUGGGUGGGUAGGGCUCCAUGCAGGGGCCGCGCUUCGAUGGCUGGGUCGGCGCACUGCUGUAGCGCGUGUGUGUCUGCCACUGCCUCGCGCCACGCGAUGAGAUCUGUGGCAGGGCUGGGGGCAGCAGAGUGGCGUCGGACUCCUGCUGCACGGCAGAGAAUGGACGCACAUGCUGAAAUGUGAAAAAAAAAAAGAAAGGUCGUCAUAAGAGAUCUGCUUCUCUUGUCGUUUCUACGAUCACCUCGCUUUUCCGCCAAUGUCCACCUUUGCUUUUCCGAGGUGCUCGUGCUUCACGCUCCACAAAG
rnacentral:misc_RNA from 1 species